rnacentral:rRNA from 1 species
UACAUGGGGUGCAACCGUUGCUCGGAAUUAUUGGGCGUAAAGCGCACGUAGGCGGUUCGUUAAGUCGGAUGUGAAAGCCCUCGGCUCAACUGAGGAAGUGCACCCGAAACUGGCGAGCUUGAGUACGAAAGAGGAUCGCGGAAUUCCCGGUGUAGAGGUGAAAUUCGUAGAUAUCGGGAGGAACACCGGUGGCGAAGGCGGCGAUCUGGGUCGAUACUGACGCUGAGGCACGAAAGCGUGGGGAGCAAACAGG